rnacentral:rRNA from 1 species
AUUGAACGCUGGCGGCAUGCCUUACACAUGCAAGUCGAACGGUAACGCGGGGCAACCUGGCGACGAGUGGCGAACGGGUGAGUAAUGUAUCGGAACGUGCCCAGUUGUGGGGGAUAACUGCUCGAAAGAGCAGCUAAUACCGCAUACGACCUGGGGGUGAAAGCGGGGGAUCGCAAGACCUCGCGCAAUUGGAGCGGCCGAUAUCAGAUUAGGUAGUUGGUGGGGUAAAGGCUCACCAAGCCAACGAUCUGUAGCUGGUCUGAGAGGACGACCAGCCACACUGGGACUGAGACACGGCCCAGACUCCUACGGGAGGCAGCAGUGGGGAAUUUUGGACAAUGGACGCAAGUCUGAUCCAGCCAUGCCGCGUGCGGGAAGAAGGCCCUCGGGUUGUAAACCGCUUUUGUCAGGGAAGAAACGCUCUGGGUUAAUACCUCGGGGUAAUGACGGUACCUGAAGAAUAAGCACCGGCUAACUACGUGCCAGCCGCCGCGGUAAAAC